GGCAACGUAGCUCAGCGGUUAGAGCGGGCGCUUCAUAAGCGCUAGGUCACAGGUUCGAUCCCUGUCGUUGCCAC
rnacentral:tRNA from 1 species